rnacentral:misc_RNA from 1 species
AAUUCUCAGACAAGGUUCCUUCUGAAUUUCCUGAACUCUUCAAGUGAUUAUCCCUAUGUGGCUUCACAGUAGUAUCUUUCUUAUCCUCAGCAAGCGCUCGACUCUUAUCCUCCAAUUUCCCACCAUCACCUCCUGAUUUGAUCUCCUCAAUUUUUUCAUUCCCUCCAUUUCCUGAAGAAUUCCCAUCAAAACUGUCACUUCCUACACUGGAAUUAACAGCUUCUUUCACUACCUCACCACCACCCCUCUGUCCUUUGUUAAACCCGGCACUCGAAGAUCUCUUAAACUCCUUUCCCCCAACCUUUGCCUGAUCAUAAUAGUACCUAUGUUGUUGCUGCUGUUGCUUCCUCAAUGCCACCUGCUGCAACGCCACAAUCACCUCCCCCACCGAGAAGUACUGCUGCAUAUGCAGCACAGGGUUCCAAUUAUACCUUCUCUGCUGUAUACACCCUAUAACUAAGUCAUACUCACCAGGUUCCCCAACAGCGCGCAGGUGGUGGCAGAGGGAGUCAAUGAUAGCGUUGGCAGCCGCAAACUCCCCCCUCAGCCACGAGAUGAACCCGUCACGCUCAUCCACCGGGAACCACUGGUGGCGAUGGGGGUGCUGCUGGUGGAUCUCAUUUCCAACUCCGCCGCCGCCGCCAGCGGGAAACUGCAUUUUAUCUGAUAUGACCACAUUUCCCGGUGGCAUUGCCAUUU